AUUGAACGCUGGCGGCAUGCUUUACACAUGCAAGUCGAACGGCAGCGCGGGCUUCGGCCUGGCGGCGAGUGGCGAACGGGUGAGUAAUAUAUCGGAACGUACCCAAGAGUGGGGGAUAACGUAGCGAAAGUUACGCUAAUACCGCAUACGAUCUAAGGGUGAAAGCAGGGGAUCGCAAGACCUUGUGCUCCUGGAGCGGCCGAUAUCUGAUUAGCUAGUUGGUGAGGUAAAGGCUCACCAAGGCAACGAUCAGUAGCUGGUCUGAGAGGACGACCAGCCACACUGGAACUGAGACACGGUCCAGACUCCUACGGGAGGCAGCAGUGGGGAAUUUUGGGACAAUGGGGGCAACCCUGAUCCAGCAAUGCCGCGUGAGUGAAGAAGGCC
rnacentral:rRNA from 1 species